CACAUUAAUGCAGUCGAGAAAUUAGUUCAGUGUGGAUGUCAGCAAGAUCAUGAAUACGGUGCAAAACUGUGUUGUUGGAAAGUGGUACAGCUUCAAUUGUUUUACUUAUCUUCUCACUUAAAAUACAUGACACUAUUCCUUUUGCACAUGGUUUUAUCAGUGAUUCUCUAAUUGUUUGUGCUUCUCCUGCAAGUUAUAUGUGGUAACUCAUUCUGUAAGUAGCCUCUGUGGCUUUUUCAUUAGUAUUUUGAAAUUUUUUGCUCAUAAAUUGUUUACUCUUCUGAUACUCUUUUAGCUUUCGCUUAAAGUCAAUGUCUUUAUCUUUGUACUUUGCGUGUUUUUUCUCAAAAUGAUGAUGUAAUUUAGCAGGUGCUUGGCAAUAUUUUAUUGUGCUUCAGGACAAUCUUCAUUUCUGGCAUUUGUGAAUCCAAAUGACAAGUAGCUAUCACCAUAUUUUCAUUUCUUUGAUUGAGAAGAAGAUUGGCUAGCAUUGUGUGCUUUUCUUUCUUUUUUUUUUUUUGACUUGUCACUUGUCUCUGCUAUUUGAGGAACAGUAG